GAUGAACGCUGGCGGCGUGCCUAAUACAUACAAGUCGAGCGAACAGACGAGGAGCUUGCUCCUCUGACGUUAGCGGCGGACGGGUGAGUAACACGUGUAUAACCUACCUAUAAGACUGGUAUAACUUCGGGAAACCGGAGCUAAUCCCGGAUAAUAUAUUGAACCGCAUGGUUCAAUAGUGAAAGACGGUUUUGCUGUCACUUAUAGAUGGAUCCGCGCCGCAUUAGCUAGUUGGUAAGGUAACGGCUUACCAAGGCAACGAUGCGUCGCCGACCUGAGAGGGUGAUCGGCCACACGGGAACUGAGACACGGUCCAGACUCCUACGGGAGGGAGCAGUAGGGAAUCUUACGCAAAGGGCGAAAGCCUUACGGAGCAACGCCGCGUGAGUGAUGAAGGUCUUCGGAUCGUAAAAAUCUGUUAUUAGGGAAGAACAAAUGUGUAAGUAACUAUGCACGUCUUGACGGUACCUAAUCAGAAAGCAACGGCUAACUACGUG
rnacentral:rRNA from 1 species